CAUUUGAUUAGGUUAUGUGAGAUCACAUGGAUGGAUUCAACACAUGGCUGCAGGACCAGGCAUUAUUAUCUUGGACACAUUUUGAACACUGCUUCUCACUCUGCUAUCAGCCACCGCCACCUCUGCAGUAAUGUGACAGCAAGAGAAAAAGGAUGGGAAGGCGAUAAAGUUUGCCCACGCAAGGAGAAAAGAACUUUCUGUCCAAAGCCAGCUGGCUUGGCUUGGGAAUGAAAUGGCAUUUCAGUGAGAGGUGACCUGUUUACAUGAGCUUUGUCUCAGAACGCUUGUCCUCGGUGCCACAGUGGGCUCUGAGAUGCAGUUUCUCGUCGAGUACCCGCAGAAAACAGGACACAAGAUGAAAAAACUGAUUUCUGGAAUAUAAGGAGCAUUUGAAAGGAGGAAAAACCAUGGUACAUCUCUGGAGUGAAACACAAGAAGGUCCUAAAAUUUUUGCACCCUUUGUAUCAUCCAUGUGAAUUUGGCCUUUGCAGUUGUCCUGGAAAUUAAACCCAACUCGGCACCAUCGGGUCAGGCAGUGAUUUCAGUGAUUUUGAUGCACCAAUUCUUCUGACUUCAUUCAUGUCAGCCUGAGGGGUGACAUUUUUCACUCACUGUGACACGUCAGGACACCUGUGCCCUCCCCACCAGUCCCAGGAGGGUUCUGCAGGAGCAGAUGUGGCAGCACAUCAGCACACAUGGCAAACAACAUCUGCAAUUUCAACUGCAACCUGGAUUCUGCGCUUCCUUUUCUCAAUUGUUACACAGGGCAGUGCUUCCAUCAGGGCAGGAAAGCAUUUCGGUAGGAAGGAGGCUGCUCUGUGCCCCUGAAGUAUUGUUUGCAAGGCUCAUAGAGAAAUCCCUUGAGCAAAACAUGCUCUGCUUAUUUUCGUGGUGCCACUGAAAAGGACAGAUUAGAACCAAUUAUUUAUCUCUUUGGCUUCCUGCUCUUAUUUUUUGCCAUCUUGGAAUAAUAUGUACUGAAAAUAAUUCACGAGUACGUCUAGAAGUCCUUGCUCAGGCCUUGCUUCAGUGUCUUACUCAGAUUCCCACUGACUUUUAUAACUUAAAUAUUCAUUAUUUUAUCUUAACAUCUUCUCAGCAUAUUGCUGUCAUGAGAGGAUUUCAGGGUAUUAAUCAUUAGA